UGCUUGCCAGUAGAAACUAAAGAAGUUGAUCACAAAUAGACAUAAGUGUCAGUCUCUAGAUGAAGAUUAUGGUACUCUUGGUAAGAAACUGUAAGUGGCCUGUUACUAGAAAAAAGGUAAGGUAAUAUUUAGCUGUGAUCAACAUUGUCUGGACAGAGGUCUAAAGGUAGGGUUUAGCAUGUUAGGAAUUACAAUGGGAGGUGGAAAGAUUAACUAAUUAAGUGCACCCCAUUACGGAUAGUACAUUGUACUGUGUAUGCUUAGGUAAAAAUAGGAACUAAUAAUAUAGUGGUUUUCUUAUAAUAGAUGCUGAUUUUCCUGACUUUGGGCUGCUUGAUUUUGCUUUGCUUCUGCACAGAAAUAAAGCGUUAAAUUCCAUUUUCCUUGCCUUGACUUCUUGCACCAGGUGAAACAAAUCCAUGGGGGUAUGACAUGGGCCAACAUUCUGACAAGGUGGAUGAAAACAUCACCCAUGCUCAGGGGAACUGAACUUCCUUCCUGGAGCUUAAUAUUCCAUGGUGAAAAGUUGUACCAUUCUUUGCACAUAUAUUAGCCAGAAUGAUUAAAUGAAGUUGAUAAAUCUGUGAAAUUGUUCUAUCAAAUUUCUGUCCCUGUUCAUGAUAGGCAAUACAUUUCAUGAGCUGAUGAGUACAAUCAGCACAUAUUUAUUUUUGUUCCUCAUAAGAGUCAUCAUUUAUUACAAGUUUAUGUUUCUUUUUUGUUAUUCAGUUUUCAAGCAGUGUCUUUUUUCCUAUAUUAGUUCCUACAAGCAUAUCUGAUUAUUAUAAUUAGUUAUAUAUUUUUUUAUUCUGUAGUGUUACAUAUAUAGAAUUUCUGAAAAAUGAAAAUAAAAUAAUAGUAUUUCUUAAGAAUUCCACAAUGCUGGCAAAAAGAAUGAGAAAAAUUAAAACUUGGCAGAAAUUGGAUGUGCAUAUAUUUGAACUUUAAAUUUGAAUUUAUAGUGGUAAAUUGCUAAAGUCUACAUUUCUAGAACUUUUUUGUUUGGAAAAUUUGUUAAAACUGUGAUUUUACAGCACAAGGAAUCUCUGAAAGUCAUUGCAGUCAUUAAUUCAAUUUGCAAAAGAUUUCAAUUUGGUGCAUACUACUUCCAGUCUGUAUUAUGCAGGGUAGAAAGGAUUGAAAUAAAUAAAUAAAUAUAGACUGUGAAGAGAAUAUUAGAAAAGUCAAAACUGGAUGCCUCCGAUUUUUAUUUGGGGGUUUGGGCAUUUGGAAAUACUAUUUUGGACAUCACCAGUACAAUUAUUAAUGGGUAAAUAUUUGCAAACAUCUGGUAUUUUGUGAAAGUCACAAGAUGAUCAAGGAAGCAUUUAUAAAAGACUGAAGAAAAAACAAGAAAAGCAAAGUUGUUAUAACUGAGGAAAUACCAUAGAACCAUUUUGGUAUACAUGAUAAUGUAUUUCCUAGACAUAGGAGAAUAUGGAGACUGACCCAAAUUAUUAAAAAAAAAGCAAAAUGUCAGAUCUUACUUUAUAGAAAUGGCUGAAAAGAUUUAAGACAGAUGAAAGCCCAUAUGCUUGCUCUAAUCACAUGCAGAAAGAAGAAGUAACUACACUUAGUGAUACAAUUGCGAAAAGACACAGAUCUAGUUUCCUUAAAAAUAUAACCAAUGUGAAAUAAGGGAUGAAAUGUUUUUGGAAAUCAGUACGAUGUGGGAAUUUUAAAAAGAAAAGAACCUUGGAAAAAUAUAUUAUCAGGUAUAUUGCUCUUUAUUGUAUUACUUGUGAACAGUGUAAGGAAUAGAUAAAAAUUAAUAUGUAAAUUUAAACUUAUUUUUAACACUGUUUUUAUGCUUUUAUGUUUUUAUAUUAUAUUAUUAUGUUUUUUGUAAUCUGUCCAGGGUUACUUAGGUGAGAUGGACUAUGUAAAAUUUGAUAAAUAAAAUAAAAUAAAAUACC